rnacentral:rRNA from 1 species
CAGCCCUAAACGAUGCGCGUUAGGUGUAUCGGUGACCACGAGUCACCGAGGUGCCGAAGGGAAACCGUGAAACGUGCCGCCUGGGAAGUACGGUCGCAAGGCUGAACUUAAGGAUUGGCGGGGGAGCACCACAACGGGUGGAGCCUGCGGUUUAAUUGGACUCAGCGCCGGGAAGCUCACCCGGGAUAAGGACAGCGGAAUGAUUGCCGGGCUGAAGACCCUGCAUGACCAGCUGAGAGGUGGUGCAUGGC